UACGAAGGGGGGCUAGCGUUGCUCGGAAUCACUGGGCGUAAAGCGCACGUAGGCGGCUUCUUAAGUCAGGGGUGAAAUCCUGGAGCUCAACUCCAGAACUGCCCUUGAUACUGAGGAGCUCGAGUCCGGAAGAGGUGAGUGGAACUGCGAGUGUAGAGGUGAAAUUCGUAGAUAUUCGCAAGAACACCAGUGGCGAAGGCGGCUCACUGGCCCGAUACUGACGCUGAGGCACGAAAGCGUGGGGAGCAAACAGG
rnacentral:rRNA from 1 species